AUUGAACGCUGGCGGCAGGCCUAACACAUGCAAGUCGAACGGUAACAGGAAGAAGCUUGCUUCUUUGCUGACGAGUGGCGGACGGGUGAGUAAUGUCUGGGAAACUGCCUGAUGGAGGGGGAUAACUACUGGAAACGGUAGCUAAUACCGCAUAAUGUCGCAAGACCAAAGAGGGGGACCUUCGGGCCUCUUGCCAUCGGAUGUGCCCAGAUGGGAUCAGCUAGUAGGUGGGGUAACGGCUCACCUAGGCGACGAUCCCUAGCUGGUCUGAGAGGAUGACCAGCCACACUGGAACUGAGACACGGUCCAGACUCCUACGGGAGGCAGCAGUGGGGAAUAUUGCACAAUGGGCGCAAGCCUGAUGCAGCUAUGCCGCGUGUAUGAAGAAGGCCUUCGGGUUGUAAAGUACUUUCAGCGGGGAGGAAGGGAGUAAAGUUAAUACCUUUGCUCAUUGACGUUACCCGCAGAAGAAGCACCGGCUAACUCCGUG
rnacentral:rRNA from 1 species